GAGGGGCUGCUGACACACAGCGAGGAAGAGCUGGAACACAGCCAGGACACAGACGCGGAUGAUGGGGCCUUGCAGUAAGCAGACAGACUAAAGAUGGAAAGGAUCCUGAUAUCACCAGAAGACAGCCUCACAAGUGCCUUCUUGUCCCUUGAAAAACCUGAUGGUCUACAGCUAAACAGUUUGGUUGUAGCCUUGUAAAGGAUAAUAAACAUGCAGGAAUCAUAAAC
rnacentral:sRNA from 1 species